rnacentral:tRNA from 1 species
GCAUUGGUGGUAAAGUGGCAAGCAUAGCUGCCUUCCAAGCAAUUGACCCGGGUUCAAUUCCAGGCCAAUGCA